CCGUUUUCAGGUGAUUGAAAAUUCCUGAAGCAUUUCCUGGAGUAGAAUGGGUAGUGAAGACCCAUGUCAGUGAUCAGAGGACUCCGGAAACCAGGAGAGCUGCCUGCUGUGUCAAGGCUGGCCUGAGGGCAUUUGCUGAGCACAGAGACACCCAGGAGAGAUCAACAGUCUUUUCCCACUCCUCCUCUUGAUCUGUCUGAUUUGCACACAGAAAGCCAGCCAGGAUCCCCUAAGAGAGUCUCUAGGCCACAAUGGAGUCCUCAGGGCUGCAGGGAGCUGUGAUGCUAACAAUUUAACCUGCUGAGGACUUUAAAGAGUUGAAGGGGACUAAUAGUACCCAAGCACAGCCUCCUAGAUCUGAAUAAACCGGCAUCUCCCACUGUGUCACUCCCAUUUUGCCUGCUUCCCCCAAGCAUCCAGCAGAACCGGCUGGAACACACUUCUUACUUCCCACCCUUCCCGCAGGAAUAACCACACCUGUGCCGUGGGUACCAGCCCGGGGGCCCUUGGGCACCUCCAGAGUUCUCCCAGGACAAUGCUGGUUGUCACCCCUGGUAAAGGCAGAGGAAAGCCAAGUGAGAAGGUUUAUUUACUUUGAACAAGUUAUUUAACCUCUGAGCCUAUUUUUCUCUUCAUUUUUGAUGACUAACCUUGUCCAAAAUGCUCUUGAAGGGUAGGGCUUUCCGACUUCACCUCUGUACUAUAUCCCUUCCCCAAAAAAACACCUGGCACUAAGGAGUUAAAUAAAAGAUUUGGUCAAGUGAA